GUGCUUACUUUGGCAGCACAUAUACUAAAAUUAGAAUAGUUUCAGCAUUAGCAUGGCCCCUGCGCAAGAAUGACAUGCAAAUUAUGAAGUGUUCCCUAUUUUU